ensembl:piRNA 21ur-13793 ncRNA
UUUUUCCAGAUCCAUUUCAAU